GACGAACGCUGGCGGCGUGCUUAACACAUGCAAGUCGAGCGGAGCGGCGAACGGGUGAGUAACGCGUGAGUAACUGCCCCCCUCUCUGGGAUAACCGUUGGAAACGGCUGCUAAUACCGGAUAGUGGGGGAUGACUCGCGUCCUAUCAGCUUCUUGGUGGGGUAGAGGCCUACCAAGGCGACGACGGGUAGCCGGCCUGAGAGGGCGACCGGCCACAUUGGUGUGGCAUACGGCCCAAAAUCCUACGGGAGGCAGCAGUCGGGAAUAUUGCACAAUGGCGGAAACGAUGAUGCAGGAUCGCCGCGUGCGGGAUGACUGCCUUCGCGUUGUAACCCGCUUUACGCCAAGGCGCGGUAGUGGCAGAAGAAUCACCGGCUAACUACGGGCGAGCAGCCGCGGUAAUUC
rnacentral:rRNA from 1 species